rnacentral:rRNA from 1 species
GGGAGGCAGCAGUGGGGAAUUUUCCGCAUUGGGCGAAAGCCUGACGGAGCAACGCCGCGUGAGGGAUGAAGGCCUCUGGGCUGUAAACCUCUUUUCUCAAGGAAGAAGAUCUGACGGUACUUGAGGAAUAAGCCACGGCUAAUUCCGUGCCAGCAGCCGCGGUAAUACGGGAGUGGCAAGCGUUAUCCGGAAUUAUUGGGCGUAAAGCGUCCGUAGGCGGCUUUUCAAGUCUGCUGUUAAAAAGUGGAGCUUAACUCCAUCAAGGCAGUGGAAACUGAUUGGCUUGAGUGUGGUAGGGGCAGAGGGAAUUCCCGGUGUAGCGGUGAAAUGCGUAGAUAUCGGGAAGAACACCAGUGGCGAAGGCGCUCUGCUGGGCCAUAACUGACGCUCAUGGACGAAAGCCAGGGGAGCGAAAGGGAUUAGAUACCCCUGUAGUCCUGGCCGUAAACGAUGAACACUAGGUGUCGGGGGAAUCGACCCCCUCGGUGUCGUAGCCAACGCGUUAAGUGUUCCGCCUGGGGAGUACGCACGCAAGUGUGAAACUCAAAGGAAUUGACGG